UACAUUUCCAUACUGCUC
rnacentral:misc_RNA from 1 species